rnacentral:pre_miRNA from 1 species
UUAAUACUCCCUCCGUCCAGAAAUAUUUGUCGGAGAAAUGGAUAAAAAUGGAUGUAUCUACAACUAAAAUACAUCUAGAUACAUCCAUUUCUGAGACAAGUAUUUCCGGACGGAGGGAGUAGAUG